CAGUAGCCGCGGGAAUACAGAGGGUGCGAGCGUUAAUCGGAUUUACUGGGCGUAAAGCGUGCGUAGUCGGCUUUUUAAGUCGGAUGUGAAAUCCCUGAGCUUAACUUAGGAAUUGCAUUCGAUACUGGGAAGCUAGAGUAUGGGAGAGGAUGGUAGAAUUCCAGGUGUAGCGGUGAAAUGCGUAGAGAUCUGGAGGAAUACCGAUGGCGAAGGCAGCCAUCUGGCCUAAUACUGACGCUGAGGUACGAAAGCAUGGGGAGCAAACAGGAUUAGAUACCCGCGUAGUCCCUGUCUCUUAUAC
rnacentral:rRNA from 1 species